GUACCCAUGGUGUAGUGGUAAUCACAUUCGCCUAACACGCGGAAGGGCUCAGGUUCGAGACCAGGUGCGUACA